rnacentral:rRNA from 1 species
AGGUCUCCGUUGGUGAACCAGCGGAGGGAUGACAUUA